GCGGCCGCUCUGUUUGAUCCUGGCGGAGGUUACUGCUAUCGAGGUUCGACUAAGCCAUGCGAGUCGAAUGUAGCAAUACAUGGCGUACUGCUCAGUAGCACGUGGACAACCUACCCUUAGGUCGGGGAUAAACCCGGGAAACUGGGUAUAAUACCCGAUAGAUCUCGGCUGCUGGAAUGCAUCGAGUUCUAAAGCUCCGGCGCCUAAGGAUGGGUCUGCGGCCUAUCAGGUAGUAGUGGGUGUAGCGUACCUACUAGCCUACGACGGGUACGGGUUGUGAGAGCAAGAGCCCGGAGAUGGAUUCUGAGACACGAAUCCAGGCCCUACGGGGUGCAGCAGGCGAGAAAACUUUACAAUGCUGGAAACAGCGAUAAGGGGACCUCGAGUGCCAGGUUACAAAUCUGGCUGUCGUGAUGCCUAAAAAGCAUUGCAUAGCAAGGGCCGGGCAAGACCGGUGCCAGCCGCCGCGGUAACACCGGCGACUCGAGUGGUAACCGUUAUUAUUGGGUCUAAAGGGUCUGUAGCCGGCCGGAUAAGUCUCUUGGGAAAUCCAGCAGCUCAACUGUUGGGCUUUCAGGAGAUACUGUCUGGCUCGAGGCCGGGAGAGGUGAGAGGUACUUCAGGGGUAGGGGUGAAAUCUUGUAAUCCUUGAAGGACCACCAGUGGCGAAGGCGUCUCACCAGAACGGACCUGACGGCAAGGGACGAAAGCUAGGGGCACGAACCGGAUUAGAUACCCGGGUAGUCCUAGCCGCAAACGACACUCGCUAGGUGUCGGCCACGGUGCGACCGCUGUCGGUGCCGUAGGAAGCCGUGAAGCGAGCCACCUGGGAAGUACGGCCGCAAGGCUGAAACUUAAAGGAAUUGGCGGGGGAGCACCACAACGGGUGGAGCUUGCGGUUUAAUUGGAUUCAACGCCGGAAACCUUACCGGGACCGACGGCAAUAUGAAGGCCAAGCUGAAGACUUUGCCGGAUUAGCUGAGAGGUGGUGCAUGGCCGUCGUCAGUUCGUACUGUGAAGCAUCCUGUUAAGUCAAGCAACGAGCGAGACCC
rnacentral:rRNA from 1 species